AUUGAACGCUGGCGGCAGGCCUAACACAUGCAAGUCGAACGGUAACAGGAAGCAGCUUGCUGCUUUGCUGACGAGUGGCGGACGGGUGAGCAAUGUCUGGGAAACUGCCUGAUGGAGGGGGAUAACUACUGGAAACGGUAGCUAAUACCGCAUAACGUCGCAAAACCAAAGAGGGGGACCUUAGGGCCUCUUGCCAUCGGAUGUGCCCAGAUGGGAUUAGCUAGUAGGUGGGGUAACGGCUCACCUAGGCGACGAUCCCUAGCUGGUCUGAGAGGAUGACCAGUCACACUGGAACUGAGACACGGUCCAGACUCCUACGGGAGGCAGCAGUGGGGAAUAUUGGACAAUGGGCGCAAGCCUGAUGCAGCCAUGCCGCGUGUAUGAAGAAGGCCUUCGGGUUGUAAAGCACUUUCAGCGGGGAGGAAGGGAGGAAAGUUAAUACCUUUGCUCAUUGACGUUACCCGCAGAAGAAGCACCGGCUAACUCCGUG
rnacentral:rRNA from 1 species